AUUGAACGCUGGCGGCAGGCUUAACACAUGCAAGUCGAGCGGAAACGAUGGUAGCUUGCUACCAGGCGUCGAGCGGCGGACGGGUGAGUAAUACUUAGGAAUCUACCUAGUAGUGGGGGAUAGCUCGGGGAAACUCGAAUUAAUACCGCAUACGACCUACGGGAGAAAGGGGGCAGUUUACUGCUCUCGCUAUUAGAUGAGCCUAAGUCGGAUUAGCUAGAUGGUGGGGUAAAGGCCUACCAUGGCGACGAUCUGUAGCUGGUCUGAGAGGAUGAUCAGCCACACCGGGACUGAGACACGGCCCGGACUCCUACGGGAGGCAGCAGUGGGGAAUAUUGGACAAUGGGGGAAACCCUGAUCCAGCCAUGCCGCGUGUGUGAAGAAGGCCUUUUGGUUGUAAAGCACUUUAAGCAGUGAAGAAGACUCCGUGGUUAAUACCCACGGACGAUGACAUUAGCUGCAGAAUAAGCACCGGCUAACUCUGUGCCAGCAGCCGCGGUAAUACAGAGGGUGCAAGCGUUAAUCGGAAUUACUGGGCGUAAAGGGAGCGUAGGUGGCUCUAUAAGUCAGAUGUGAAAUCCCCGGGCUUAACCUGGGAACUGCAUCUGAAACUGUAGAGCUAGAGUAUGUGAGAGGAAGGUAGAAUUCCAGGUGUAGCGGUGAAAUGCGUAGAGAUCUGGAGGAAUACCGAUGGCGAAGGCAGCCUUCUGGCAUAAUACUGACACUGAGGCUCGAAAGCGUGGGUAGCAAACAGGAUUAGAUACCCUGGUAGUCCACGCUGUAAACGAUGUCUACUAGUCGUUGGGUCCCUUGAGGACUUAGUGACGCAGCUAACGCAAUAAGUAGACCGCCUGGGGAGUACGGCCGCAAGGUUAAAACUCAAAUGAAUUGACGGGGGCCCGCACAAGCGGUGGAGCAUGUGGUUUAAUUCGAUGCAACGCGAGGAACCUUACCUGGUCUUGACAUAUCUAGAAUCCUGCAGAGAUGCGGGAGUGCCUUCGGGAAUUAGAAUACAGGUGCUGCAUGGCUGUCGUCAGCUCGUGUCGUGAGAUGUUGGGUUAAGUCCCGCAACGAGCGCAACCCUUGUCCUUAGUUACCAGCGGGUUAAGCCGGGAACUCUAAGGAUACUGCCAGUGACAAACUGGAGGAAGGCGGGGACGACGUCAAGUCAUCAUGGCCCUUACGACCAGGGCUACACACGUGCUACAAUGGUAGGUACAGAGGGCAGCUACACAGCGAUGUGAUGCGAAUCUCAAAAAGCCUAUCGUAGUCCAGAUUGGAGUCUGCAACUCGACUCCAUGAAGUAGGAAUCGCUAGUAAUCGCGGAUCAGAAUGCCGCGGUGAAUACGUUCCCGGGCCU
rnacentral:rRNA from 1 species